GACCUAACCCCUCAGGGAUUUUCUUGAGGAUAUGGUCGAAAGCCCUAUCAAGCAUAAAGAACCCGUCAUGGGGUCGCUUGAUAGGCCGUAUUGGGAAACUGGUACGAGAGGUUUCGACCUCU
rnacentral:sRNA from 1 species